GACGAACGCCGGCGGCGUGCUUAACACAUGCAAGUCGAACGGAAAGGCCCUGCUUUUGUGGGGUGCUCGAGUGGCGAACGGGUGAGUAACAAGUGAGUAACCUGCCCUUGACUUUGGGAUAACUUCAGGAAACUGGGGCUAAUACCGGAUAGGAGCUCCUGCUGCAUGGUGGGGGUUGGAAAGUUUCGGCGGUUGGGGAUGGACUCGCGGCUUAUCAGCUUGUUGGUGGGGUAGUGGCUUACCAAGGCUUUGACGGGUAGCCGGCCUGAGAGGGUGACCGGCCACAUUGGGACUGAGAUACGGCCCAGACUCCUACGGGAGGCAGCAGUGGUGAAUAUUGCACAAUGGGCGGAAGCCUGAUGCAGCAACGCCGCGUGCGGGAUGACGGCCUUCGGGUGGUAAACCGCUUUCGCCUGUGACGAAGCGUGAGUGACGGUAAUGGGUAAAGAAGCACCGGGUAACUACGUG
rnacentral:rRNA from 1 species